rnacentral:rRNA from 1 species
UACGGGGGGGGCAAGCGUUGUUCGGAAUUACUGGGCGUAAAGGGCUCGUAGGCGGCCAACUAAGUCAGACGUGAAAUCCCUCGGCUUAACCUGGGAACUGCGUCUGAUACUGGAUGGCUUGAGUUUGGGAGAGGGAUGCGGAAUUCCAGGUGUAGCGGUGAAAUGCGUAGAUAUCUGGAGGAACACCGGUGGCGAAGGCGGCAUCCUGGACCAACACUGACGCUGAGUGAGCGAAAGCCAGGGGAGCAAACGGG